UACGUAGGGGGCAAGCGUUGUCCGGAUUUAUUGGGCGUAAAGAGCGUGUAGGCGGCCAUACAGGUCAGCUGUGAAAACUCGAGGCUCAACCUCGAGACGUCGGUUGAAACCGUAUGGCUAGAGUCCGGAAGAGGAGAGUGGAAUUCCCGGUGUAGCGGUGAAAUGCGUAGAUAUCCGGAGGAACACCGGUGGCGAAGGCGGCUUCCUGGACCGACACUGACGCUGAGGCGCGAAAGCUAGGGGAGCAAACGGG
rnacentral:rRNA from 1 species